rnacentral:rRNA from 1 species
UACGAAGGGGGAGCUAGCGUUGCUCGGAAUCACUGGGCGUAAAGCGCACGUAGGCGGAUUGCUAAGUCAGGGGUGAAAUCCUGGAGCUCAACUCCAGAACUGCCUUUGAUACUGGCGACCUUGAGUCCGGGAGAGGUGAGUGGAACUGCGAGUGUAGAGGUGAAAUUCGUAGAUAUUCGCAAGAACACCAGUGGCGAAGGCGGCUCACUGGCCCGGUACUGACGCUGAGGUGCGAAAGCGUGGGGAGCAAACAGG